CCACAAGGGGUGAAGCUUGCGGUUUAAUUGGAGUCAACGCCGGAAAUCUUACCGGGGGCGACAGCAGGAUGAAAGCCAGAUUAAAGGUCUUGCCAGACAAGCUGAGAGGAGGUGCAUGGCCGUCGCCAGUUCGUGCCGUGAGGUGUCCUGUUAAGUCAGGCAACGAUCGAGACCCGCAUCCCCCGUUGCAACUAGCCUUGAGCUGGGCACACUGGGGAGACCGCCGCCGAUAAGGCGGAGGAAGGAGCGGGCCACGGCAGGUCAGUAUGCCCCGAAUCUCCCGGGCCACACGCGAGCUGCAAUGGCAGGCACAAUGGGUUCCGACCUCGAAAGGGGGAGGCAAUCUCUAAAACCUGCCGUAGUUGGGAUCGAGGGUUGAAACCCGUCCUCGUGAAUAUGGAAUCCCUAGUAACCGCGUGUCAUCACCGCGCGGUGAAUACGUCCCUGCUCCUUGC
rnacentral:rRNA from 1 species